GGAAAAUAAUGAUCAUCUCAAUUUUUACAUGUGGAGGCAUUGCUUUUCUUCUAUGGGGGAUUUUAGGAUUUCCCAGAAAAUUCUGAACAUGAAACAACUUGGAUCAAUGGCUGAGAAAACUGCAAAAGUUAUUAUGGAUCUCUGGCCAGGCUCAACUCUCAGAAUGAAAUGGAAUCUUUGAUGCAUUAUCGGGGCCCUCUUUAUAUUGGUUUGAACUGAGCAAGAACGAUGCAAACAAAACGUGGAUGUGGGCAGAUGGAGCUACGUUCAGCAAUGGGUUCAGUACUGAAGAAAGUGGUGAUUGUGCCUUCAUACAUAAGACAGGCAUAAGUAGUGCCAAUUGUAAUAAUACAAAAAAAAAAAAAAUAUGUUUGCAGCAGAAAAAGCUACUGUUCUUAGAUAAAGAGUUCUCCCAUACAGGAAAUAAAAUAAUUAACAAAAACC
rnacentral:lncRNA from 1 species